UACAGAGGUCUCAAGCGUUGUUCGGAUUCAUUGGGCGUAAAGGGUGUGUAGGUGGCACCGUAAGUCGGGUGUGAAAUCUCGGGGCUUAACUCCGAAACUGCAUUCGAUACUGCGGCGCUUGAGGACUGGAGAGGAGACUGGAAUUCAUGGUGUAGCAGUGAAAUGCGUAGAGAUCAUGAGGAACACCGGUGGCGAAGGCGGCUCUCUGGACAAAUACCGACGCUGAGGCACGAAAGCUAGGGGAGCAAACAGG
rnacentral:rRNA from 1 species